AACGAACGCUGGCGGCGUGCCUAACACAUGCAAGUCGAGCGCGAAAGUUCCUUCGGGAGCGAGUAGAGCGGCGGACGGGUGAGUAAUACAUAGGUAAUCUACCUUCGAGCUUGGGAUAACCCCGCGAAAGUGGGGCUAAUACCGGAUAAGACCACGUAACUGUGUUGCGGGGUAAAAGGUAGCUUAUUUUUUAAAUGAGCUAUCACUUGAGGAUGAGCCUGUGGCCUAUCAGCUUGUUGGCGGGGUAAGAGCCCACCAAGGCUAUGACGGGUAGCUGGUCUGAGAGGACGACCAGCCACACUGGGACUGAGACACGGGCCAGACUCCUACGGGAGGUAGCAGUGGGGAAUAUUGGGCAAUGGGCGAAAGCCUGACCCAGCGACGCCGCGUGGGCGAUGAAGGCCUUCGGGUUGUAAAGCCCUGUCAUGCGGAAAGAACGACCCUGCGACGCAUAAUCGCAGGGAGUGACGGUACCGCAGGAGGAAGCACCGGCUAACUCCGUGCCAGCCGCCGCGGUAA
rnacentral:rRNA from 1 species